rnacentral:tRNA from 1 species
GGACGUGGCUCAAGUGGUAGUGCAUUCGCCUAGCAUGCGUGAGGCACUGGAUUCGAUUCUCAGCACCA